AAAAUUCACCUUUACCUUAUCCCUUCCUCUAUCAUGAAACGCAUCCACACUUUCCUUCGUUAACUUUUUCACUCUCACAGUCCAAGCGCUCUCUCCCUCUCAAUCGGAACCCUCACCGUCAUUCAUUCACCGUCCAAGCUCUCUUUCUCGAACCCUUAUCUCUCUCCUUCGAUGUGAACCUCUCUAUCAAAACCCCAUUGCAGAACCUCUCCAUGUUUCUCGAAAGCCCCAUCACCUCUCACUCUUCGUUAUUCUUCCCCUACCAUAACCUUUGUCACGCUCUCAAUCUUUCUCUGUCGCCGCGUCUGAGUUCUCAGAAUCUUGGUCGCUCAGUUCAUAGUCUUAAUUCUCACUAGAAAUCCAUUGAGAAAGGUUUUUUGCAACAGGUUUCCUUUGUUGAGGCAUUCAGUUAACCGGCGGUAGGUCGCAUUACUGGAAAUGGAAGUUUUUCAUGGAUGUUGCUGCCUCUGGUUUUUUGCACUGGUUCACUAUUGUUCAACAACUUAUUCUAGUUAACUCAACUCAACAGCCAAGGAGGGAUCCUUACUUGCACUUUGUAGAAUCUCCUGCAUUAGCUCCACCAGAAGUUCAAAUUGAUUUAGCUGUACACCAACUAUGAGAAAUGGUAGUGGAUAUAUUAAUGGUUGAGAUGAUAUUGUCCGAUGUUGCUGUGGCUAUGCUUGAUUGGGAUAUAUAUAGUUUGAUGAAUAUUAUGUCCGAAGAUGUUUUUAUUUUUUUUAAAAGAUUAUGCCCAAAGAUGUUGUCAUAGCUUUAUGUUGAAUUGUUGAUAUUACUAUAAUAUAACUUCUUUGAUUGUAUUUAUA